UGAUAUUCAAUUUUUUUGAGUGUCACCUGUAUUUAUCAUUAUUUUUUGUUAUAUUUUAAUGGGAUUUACUGCAGUGCCAUCACUGGAAGUGGAAGGACUUGCAUGAACCUGGUAAAAAUUAAAAUGCUCAAAAGCUCUUCACUCACAGGGUUGACAGCUCGCUCAAGUGUACUGCCUUGAGGGUUCAUUUCCAUCCUCAGUCCAAAUCCUCCUGCCAGUCACGUCUGCCUCUGGGCUUUGAGUGCGCCUCGGUCUGGCCACUUCAUCAUACACACACACACACACAGGCUAAUCUCUGAGCUCUCCAAAUAAUAUCAUCCACAUAAGCCAAUGACAAUCUGCUCACAGCGUGAAGGAACUGCUCUGACAGGGCCAAACAAUAAACAGGUACACACAAAAAGCAUUAGGAAAGUAUAUUUUAAAUGUCUUAUGCCAUUUUUUCAAAUCUUAUUAUUCUUAGUGAGUAAAAUUAAUAUAAUUCACAUAAAACAUUCAAUUUGUAUAGUCAACAUUAAACAUUGUUCAUUAUGUGUUCAGUCUUACAAUCUAAUGCAAUUUUCUUUUAUUAAAUUAAGCUGUCUUGAUGAUGUCAGUGGAAAGGAAAGUCGUUUCAGAGGAUAUUUCUUGGCAGCAUGAGAUGGAAAGGCACAGACUGUACUUCUGAAUCCAGACCCACGCCAGCAGCUGAGAGUUACAUGCAUUUAGAAGGCCUCUAAAGAUCUCUAUGCAGUGGGUGCUGAAGGAUCGUGGAGUGUGGUGAAAUUAAUCUAAUCAGGUGACUGCAGCUUAAAGGGCUCAAGAUAAUUAUAGUUUGAUUCAAUGCUUUCUGGGGGGGCUGGGGGGCUUUUCAGUGACUGUGCUGCUCCCAGAACCAAAAGGGUUCCUUGGGGCAUGUUUUUGUCUGGCAUUAAAACAACCAUGCUGAGAUCCUCAGACAGCUUCCACAUUAGAAAAAUAAAAAAGACUGUGAGCAACCCAGAUUGUGUUGCUGGGGAACUGCGUAAAUCAACUUUUCACUGACCGUGCAGUGAUGAUUCAAAGGUUUUCCAAACCCUCAGAAGCUCAUAGUGAAACUGCAGAGGAUUCGUAAAAUUUUGCAGUUCUGGAAUGACUCCGACAUAACCUCCUGAUUCCCAUCAGCCCCGUGUCCGGCAGCAUUCCAUCACUCUUCGACGGCAUCGAUCUGGCCGUCUCUCUUGUCAGCCUCAUCACUGCACCUGCGGAUGACUG